rnacentral:lncRNA from 1 species
CGGUACAUAAUUCUUAUAGCAUAAAAGAUAAUUAUAUUCAUAUAUACUAUAAAGCAAAUAACCAAAGCAUAAAAUUUCUUUUACAGUGACACGUGGGCCCACAUCUAUCCAAAAUGCAUCGAAAGCUGAAAACCUACAGCUUUUACCGAUUCGAGUCUAAAUGAAGAUCCUUGUCAAAGUCAGCUAACUAUGGAAUUCUCCGAGCCUGAAAUGUGAGGAAAUGAGGGUGGUGAGAUUAUAAAAUCCCAGUGAGUAAACAGAUACCAUCUAAACUAUCUAAAGUCGAGUAAAUAGAGAUAAUUAAAAUAAGUCAUCAUAUUGUAAUUUCAUUACCUUUCAAUUCAUUUCAACCAAAAAAAAUCAAUCCAUAUAAAUCGAGUAAUCAACUUGGCUUAUGAAUUUCUUAAAACUUUGGCUCGUGCCAAAACUCAUACUCGGUGAUACCUUGCGCAGGGUAUCCAACCGAGUCUGCCAAGGCUGUUAAAAUUUCGUAUACACUUAAAAUAUAUUUUUAGUUUGAGAAAAUACAGUCGUUCCUUGGCGUUGGCUGAGUUCCCCUUCACGUGGUGGUUUGGCGUGAAGUGAAUCCUAAGCUUUACCCCAAGAGAUACCCUACGCGCCUCUCCGUUUGAGGUAAUAAUAUAAUGGAGUUUAUCGUGCCCCUCUAAUAGGCUGGUCCACGGAACCCCCUCUGCAGUAAAUAAUUAAUAUAUAAUCCACCAAUCAAUAAAAUUCAUUCUAGCAUGACAUGGCAAUUUAUCGCAACCUAGCCUCUGAAGGCUGAAUACAUAGUAUAAAUAAUUCUAACACCAAAAUCAGUUUAGCCAUUCAUGCUCAUUUAUUGUCAUAAGCCAUUCAAUUCAAAACCAUAAAUUUGCAACACAAGCAGACAAUCUCCAAUUACUCUAUUUUCAAAACCAAUAUUCGAUUUUCAGAAAAUUUAUAAAAUCAUUUUAUAAAAUCACAAUUUCUCUUAAAACAUAGCAAUUUACCAUUUAAACCCAUUUUCCAUAAAAUCACACAGUUGUAUAAAACUACUCUAGAUAAUUAAGACGAUAAUAAGUUCACUCACCGUUCUAGGAGUCGAUGUACUCCUAAUCCCAGUCUCCAAGCACAAUCUUUGUACUUUUACCAGUGUACUUUGUUCACC